rnacentral:lncRNA from 1 species
CCAAACUCCAUACAGUAUAAAUUUGGUAAUACUCGAGUAUACCGGAAUCAAGAAUUUCAUACAACAAGAUUCCAUAUAACAGUCCCCAUGGCUCGUCAAUUUUCACGACCAAGCCCUCGCCGGUUCGAUUCAAUCGACUACCAAUGGGGUUGAGCUCAGUAGUAACAGUAAUGGCCGUUGGAUACUCCUCCAAACGACACCAAAUCCAGUAUAUUCAUAUACCAUUCAAGUAACACCGUAAACAGUCAUAUUGGAC